UACGGAGGGGGGCUAGCGUUGUUCGGAAUUACUGGGCGUAAAGCGCACGUAGGCGGCUUUGUAAGUUAGAGGUGAAAGCCCCAGGGCUUAACCUCGUAGUAACUUUGACCUUUAAGACUGCAAUUCGCUCGAAAUUGUGGGAGAGGUAAGUGGAAUUCCGAGUGUAGAGGUGAAAUUCGUAGAUAUUCGGAAGAACACCAGUGGCGAAGGCGACUUACUGGACACAUAUUGACGCUGAGGUGCGAAAGCGUGGGGAGCAAACAGG
rnacentral:rRNA from 1 species